AAACCUUAGUCCAAGAGGCUCAGGUGGAAAAAGUGUGGGUUGGUGACACCCAGCCCUGAGUCAGAAUCCCAGCUCUUGCAUUGCCUGCAUGACUGCACAAGUUACAUGAGAUUGUUUGAGCUUCAGUUUCAUUUGCUAAAUAAUUGGGAUAAUAAUACACACAGCACUGGGUAGUUAGGAUUUAAUCAGAGAAGGCAUGAGAAGUAAGCACCCAUCAACUGAGCUAUUAUCUCCCUGAAAUGAUGGCUGGAGAAGAAUAAAAGGGAUCUAAAGUAAAGACGUGUAGUAGAUGCUUCAUAAACGCUGCUGAAGAAACAAAACUGCAUGUACAAACCGAUGAGCAGCAGAGCCCAUCGGGGCUGAUACAAAGCGAGACCACAGAGAGGGCUGCUGUCUACGAUCCAGCCGCCUGCUUCCUGUUGGGGCCGCCAGCCUGGCCACCCAUCGACAGCAGGAUAUCUUACACUGAAAUGGGCUCGUGGAGGUGUGUGACAUCACAGAAACGGAGUGGUCUUUGGAAAGAGGCUGGCCUGGGUUUGAAUCCUGCUAGACCACAUACCAACGGUGUCUCCUUGGACACUUCCAUUCCUCGUUUUGAACGUCAACAUCCCAUCUAUUAAAUGGAGACAGGGGGCUUCCUUCCAGUUCUCCUUGUUACGGCUUCACCGUUGGCUGGCGUGGUCAAUACGGCAGGCAGAAUUACCCCAACUCACAGAUACCCUGCACGUUUUGCAAGUUCUCUUUGUGAUGACCUGCAUUGGUACCUGUUUUCGCUAACUGGAAGAAAUGUGAAGAGGGUUUUCGCAGUUAGGGAGAAAGACCUUCAUCAAGCCUGCUGCAGUGGAUCAGCUUCAUUCCCCAGGAAUACUAAAGAGCCUUCGUGAGGGUCCUCCAGCGAGUCCUCAGUCUCAGUUCUCACAGGUUCCAAAGAAAUUAUCAAAGGGAUUAAGUCAAGGUGUGAUACUGUCCUCUGUGCAUUCUGAAAGAUCAUUCUGGCUGAAGAUCCCAGCACAACACAGAAGACUGAAAUCUGAGAGGCUUAGCAGAAGGAGUUAAGGAGCCCAUCAAGAGGAGGAUGGACAGACCAAAGAAAAUAGCCCGAGGGAACAGACACCUGAGAUACAGAGUUUCCAUAAGGAGGAGAAAACACUGUCAUAAUCAAAGAAGGAAACGAUAGCUGUGAUUUCUAAAGACGCUGAAGAAGUCAAACGUUAGAUUCCUGCUCCUUUUGCUUCGGCUCCAUUUCUCUUCAGAAUACAGCCGGAUCUGCCCCCGGAAGGAGUGUUCAAGGCUGGGGCAGGAGGCGACUUUCCUCAUCGGACCCUGAGACAAGGAGAUGCCCUCUGGCCCCAGAGGCCCCCCAAGAAAGACAGUCGCUGAUGUUCAGAGCAGUAGCUAAUUUCCAACGUUAUUGACUUUUCAUUCAUGUAAUGAAGCACAUGCCUUUGGAGUUAAGAAGGGGAUGAAGCCACAGAACUUCCUCCAAGGAGCAGGCACUCACCUCCGGUUCUCAGAAGCAGAAGAAGCCAAGUCACACGUUUCUAUGAAUUCUCUCAGAAAGCCGAUGAUUAGUAAUAAUAGCAGUAGCCGUGUCUAUUGAUUGAGCACAGGUGCCAGACUCUUCACAGAUCUCGCCUGUAAGGGAGCCUCCCAGAGAUGUGGGCAGCUCCUUUCAUAGCUAAGUCAACAACGUCUCAGCAAGGACAGUGAAGAGAAGCAAGGUCGUCUCUUGCAGAGCACGGGCCGGAAGUCCGGAGGGUCAAGGUCGUGCCCCGGCCCCAGCCGACCCAACGUGGCUUGGGCAAGACUCGUCUGCCAGUGGACAUUCCAAAGCACUGUACCAAAGAGUUAUUAGCUGCAGCGAGAAGGCACACGCUGGCGGAUGAUUUGAUUGAAAUGAAGUGUCUGUACAAUGCGAGUGGUACCCCCAGCAGAUAUACUGACACCUCCCAGUGCCUCCCAAGUUGGAAAUCAGGAGGAAACCAGUUUCCGGCUGCUGCGUGCCAGGCACCGUGUGGCGUUACCGCCACACGCUUUGACACAGAAACAGCUUUGGAAAAUGUGGGUGCACAUAUAGACGCGUAGACGUCUAAGACAUACUCCUGUGUGCCUCUGAUGUAGCUCUGACAUUUUACGGAGAAGAGACUCCCCUAAACAUCUUAUCCAGACAGCUCCAUGUGGGUCUGCAAUUGCCUCAAAUUUUCAAGAAGUCAAAUAUAUAUGGAUAAUUACAAUGCACAGUCCCAAAGGCCGUGCUGGCAUUGGAGCAUAGAGUGGACACAUACCGUCUCACUGUGAUUAGGAGAAGCAACCAGAGAAGGUCUCCCAAGGCAGGGGACCUCAUCACAGGUCAUUCACUUGUCAGAGAAGCUGGAGCCUUUGUCUUAGAGAAUUACCCAUGUUCUGGAUUUGAAUGGUUCCUUCUUCGUGGGGUCUGGAUCAUUUCUCUAUCCACUGUUAUCUCCUGAUAGUGGUCAUUUAUCAUCACCGUCAUCAUCAUCGCCAUCAUCAUCAUCAUCAUCACCACAUUGUACCACAUGAUCCCAGCAUUGUUGGAAGGGUGAGAAUAUAGGCAAGCGAGUGCUACUUCUAGAAGUCUAACUCCCCUGUCGUGUAACUUUAAACCAAGCCUUUCUUCCCUGCGACGUAGAACACGGACCACGAUCUCAUGUUGGUGCUCAAGUCUGGGGAGUGAUUCCCGUACAGAGACAAUGCACGGACUUGUGCAAUGGCCAAGAAAGGCCGGCCCUGCAGCUGCAUUCAGAGCAGGGAGUUUCUGGAAGCAGACCUUUCUGACGAUAAUAAGAUGGUUGGAGCAUGAACUUUGCCGCCAUGCUGGAUUCAUACCUUGUACCCCUCACCAGCUGAGAGACCUUGGAAAGUCUCCCUCACGUUUCCGUACCUUAGCUUCCUUCUCAGCUACGUGGAAAGAGCAGCACGUAUCUCUGACGGCCGUUGUGAAGAGCGAGGGAGCUAAAGCCAAGGGCAGGGCCCGGAAGAAAUGAAAAUGUUUUCCUGGGCCCCUCUCCGAAGUGAAUUCUGCCAAAGAACAGAGGAGUGCCACAAGCUGCUUUUUGAGAUGGUUAGGGUGCGUGUGUUGCCAGGAGCAUGGCAUGAAGCAUGGCGUGCCUGCUACGAUUCCAUUCUGUAAGGAGUGUCCACCCGGACCCCGACUGUCAUAGAUGGUCACACCUGAGACCACGAUUAGGGGACCAGAGUGGAGAACUCCAGGUUCCAGCUCCCAGGUCGAGUGGCUGCUAAAUGCCUCUGGAACAGGACCUAAGAGUCACCCCAGACCCAGGGGGAGGAAGGAGAGUGACCAAAACUCUACAGGGGCAGCACUACCACCAGCCUGUCCCCUGGGUUCCCCUGCACAGAAGACACAUCCUGAACAGACACUGUCCCAGUAUCAGGGAAACCAGCUUCUUUUCAUUUCAUCAACAGAACUGGACACGGAUCAAUUUCAACUGACCUUUGCCGAAAGGUGGCGCUGUUGAGAUGCCACGGGCAGAAGCUUUAACAGAGCCGAGCACCCUGCUUUUCUCUCGGGCCCUGGAUAGUAUUGUAUUUUCAGUGAUGUCAAACGUGGUCAUUCAUCAGACAGAGCCGUACCCAAGGGAAUCCUCUACAUCAGUGAUGUGAAAAAUCCUGUUGCCUGAAGUCAAAGAGGUACAUCUUGAUUUCUGAUUUGCAUGUGCCUGUUUGAGUGCAUUUUCCAUGAGGGAGACAGCAAGCGAGCAAAGCGAGUGAGGAAUGCUGAUCGCUUUCGAGGCGCGAAGGUCUCCUGCUUUAGUGGUUUUAGCAUUGGGGUUUCACAUGUACGUAAAUGGUGAUACCAGAUGCUGAAGUGAAGGAUGCAUUGUGUGUUGAGACGAGCAUGCAUGCAUUUUUAUAUUGAUUUCAUGACGUAGGUGUGGUGUACAGAGUACUAAUCCAGUCCGAGUGGAUCUCAGAUCUUUCGCCUUAACUAGCGUGAGUCUGUUGACUCAUCUUUAUAUUUGAAUGUCAGACAAUUUGCGUUGUCCCCCUCCUGUGUCCAAAUGUGAGUUUGGAGCCACUCCUCCCUUCAAAUGUAGGCAGAGGGAGGCAGAAAUGUGAUUUUCACCUAUGAAAAAAAAUGAAAUUAAGCUAUUUAAAUGGGUUUUCAAUUACAGGGAUCCCGGGGUGAAUUUAAUUAUGAAUCCUCUUCGUUUAGAGAGCUAGACCAACACUCUUACACCAAUAAUUACUUAGUGUUAUCGUUUUAUGUAUUCCUGUUACGUCUUAUUGGCUAAUGGAAUGAAGUUUGACUUUUUUUUUUUUUUUAUUAAAUUUGCUUGCUGAGAAAUUUGCAUGAAAUACAGCUUUGGGUUUAAGUCCCACCAUCAAAUUGCUACUGUUUAAGAAGGAGACACUUUAAGAAUCCAGUGAAUUGAGGGUGUCAGGAAACAGACCCGGAUCUUUUCCUGCUCUUCCGAUAUGGUAUCUGAUUACUUACUUUUACACGUUAUUUUAAGGACAGGCUUUGAAUAACUGGACCGUGAAUAUUUAACGUGAUUUCUUUCCUAGCCUUAAACAAAAUUAACAUUUUCUUUAAUAGCUCAUACAUAGAUUUUAACUAAGUGUACACCUUUGGGAUUAAUUUGUGUAUCCUUGUGUACGCAUGCCAUACCGAUACUUUAUUCCUUUCUCUUUCUAUUCCUUUCUUUUAUCCCUGUCCUUAUAAUUGCAGUUUGAAAGCCAUCUAUUAAAUAUAAUGAUCCAGACACACCGGGCAGGUUUUGUUACACCGAAACCAUCCAUUUUGAGCAAAGAGUUAAUGAACUUUUAAGGCAAGAUUCACCCGGGUCUUGACCCCACCCCCCGUAAUAUUUCAUAUAAGGUUACUGGCGGGAGAGAAAUCAAAUUUCAGCCGUGAACAUGAUUGACAGGUGAGCGUGAGGAAGAGAAAGGCAUUUGGCUAGAUGGGGAAUUUGGAGAGGAGGACAAUUCCUCCAAGUUACUCUGUGGUAUUAGGUAUUAUAAGCUGAUAUAUGAAAAGUUCAAUACUUGAUACUCCUGGGAGAGUUACUUAGUUUAUUUUCAGAAAGUCACUUUGGUUAAGAGAUUUCAGUCCUGGAAGCCAAAAAUGGGGAAUCACUAGCUUUCUGCUGUCUUGCUGAUUUCCACUAUGUACAACUUUGUGGCUUAUUUCUGGCAACUUUCUAGGCUAGAGUGUGAGAAUUAAAUCACAAGCCAUUUGGGGAGGCAUUUGAUUAUUUUAUUUAUUCUCAGAAACACAGUCUAGAUUAUAUUCUGGUUCUUGGGCAUAUUACAGAAUAGUCAUCCUAAGUGGUAUCACAAAAAGAUCAAAUUCUCCAUUUUCCUAGCAUCCCUUGAUCCUAACAUUUUCCAUUAGUGCACGUUCCAGCUUAACAUACGCAAAUCUACCCAAGUGCAUGAUUUAUCAAGGUUGUGCCUUCUAAGCAAAGUCUUCUAACAUGACGAUCAAGAGAGACAACAGUCCCACACUGCCGUUUGAUGUCAGUUUCUCCAUGGUAGCAUCCCUGGGUCAGGUGUGAUGUUAGCAUCGUCACCAUGGAAAGAAGUGAUGGUGUUGCUUGACCCUAAGACAAAGAGUGGCUUUGGAAUUCACCUUAGAGCCUGUCUCUUAGCGUGAACUGUCAAAAGGAGGUAACACAACUACUCAUGGUUGGCACCAAAACUGAAAGCAGGCCUUUAAUACAUGCUCUUUCAUCUUGUGUGUUGAAACACUAAUUUCGGGAGAUACUGGUGGACCUUAGCCUGCUGAUGUGUAUGCUCUACCCAUUACAGAUGUUCCUGACAUUGGCUAAGACCCAUCCGGAUGCAACCGAGCCUUAACAGAGCUGCCUUGGGGCAGGGCAGGUCGGACACAUAUAACAUAGGGGAGAGGCCUGUUGGUAGCUUUCCUGUCACCCGUGGGAGUUUCCUGAUGGAACUUGUAAAAACAGCUCUUCCCGGGUUCUAAGUACCCGUCACUUUUUUUUUUUCCUAGUCUUAACAAUUAGCUGAGUGGAUAUGUUUUAUCCUGACUGUACCUAUGCUGACGUGAAUUCAAACCAAUGUAAGGAAGGCUUUACUCUGUUAUGAACUGGGAUAUAAACAAAAAACACAGUAAAAGGACUCCGAAAUCUUGUUUCUCCUUUGUAUAACGUGUCCUCCCACGUUGCCAGGAAUCACCCAGAAAUAAAACGCAAGCAUGGUUUCCCAAUGUCCAGUGUCAAUGUGGGUACCUGAGCCCAGCUAUUUAAUUCCAACAUAAAAUUAAAGAUGUCAUAACCAUAUUUCCUUUGCAGAGUCCAUCAAAAUAUUUUAACAGAAAUGGUGAAUGAGGUGUUCUCAGGCAAAGGCCAUGGGAAAACACAGACCGUAAGUUUUCGUCUCCUGGUGCCUCGGUUUGAAAAGCCCACGUGAGAACCGUGGCUUCACUGCAGACCCCUCAGGGCCUCUUGGUCCUCAGCUUUUAGAGUAACUGCCCCGUCCUGGAAGACAGCAAGGGGUAGGAUGCUGUCUGGCACGCAGAUCUGGAGAGCAGACCAAUCCGUCACAGAUGCCAUGAGUAUGUCUUAAGCACAUUACAUCACUGUAUUUGUUGGCACUGAGAAAAUAAGGGAAAAUAAUUCUGUUUAAAGCGUUUUAUUACUGGGACUAACUUACCGAAUUGUUUGUUGUUGUUGUUUGUUUAAUCAGAUUAUGCUCCUGCCCAAGCCCCCCCCCCUCCCCCUUUCCAUACAAGGCUGCCUAAUGUCUUCCUUUCUGUGGACACCGGCCCACUAGUGAGCAGAUUUAAUCAAUUAAUUAUAGCAGAGCAGGUACAGGGCAAGCGGCUCAAUGAACUCACAUUAUUUCCAGUCAAUGUUAGAAUGCUAUCAAAGGGGCUGCCGUAAAGAAAGGAACAUUAUGCAUUUGGGAGCAUUUGGGGGUGGGGGGAAGGAAGAAGGAAUUUUUGCACGAGUAUAGCACUCGUUAUUUAAAACAAAAUGAUGCUUCUGUAAAGAGCUUUCGUUCUAAAAGCACACAUUCAGUCACCUGCCAAAAUCUCAGAUUUAUUGCUGCCGUUCACAGAUGCCAAUGUUGAAACUCUCCUCGCCUGCCGCUUGCUGAGUCUUUCAUUUCCUCGAUCCAAAAAUUACUGUAAAGUUGUUGUUUAGUGUCUGCCUUUUUUUUUUUUUUUGCUUUUCCUGGCACCUAAUGAAAUUAUCAGCAAUAAAUGAGCUAUACAGAAGG